UAAAUAAGAAACAAAUAGUUGUAAUUAGUUUCGACCUAGUAUAUUGAUGAUCAAAUUCAUCCUUAUUU
rnacentral:tRNA from 1 species